CUGUGCAGAAGCGCUACUUUGUAUAAAACAACAACAAUUUCUGCUAGAAAAUUGUGACGAACUGAAUUGAAACACCAGGCAAACAUAACCGAUUAGAAAGUGGAAAACGAUCAGCUGAUCAACGCUUGAUGCCACUUUUAAGUAACGGUUCUUUCCAGCGAGAUGGCUUCUGAUUGGUGGAACACGGUGAGGGGAAGCGUCCCAAGGACAGUUAUCUUAAAAAAGAACCGUUAUUUGAGUUAACUCAAAUUAACCAGCUGCAGCCUGCUAUUGAUUAUGUUGGCCUGGUGUCAGAAAUCGAUUGGGAUGGUUUGACGACGCCGAAUACCAUGAAAAAUAUGUGCUACUUUCCUAUUGGUCAACCAAUAGCAAGGCAGCUCGAUGAUUCAUCGAUCAACGAGGGCAGCUGAAACACGGAAGGACAUGGCAAAGCUUCGGGCCAGAUUAUUCGAGGAGGAGGUCGGCGAUUCAAUAUACUAUAAUAAGAUACAAUAAACUAUAAUAAGAUUAUCAACAUAAGAAACGAACUUAUUAUUUAUUUAGAAAUCGAAAUUUUAAAGAUAAUAAAAACUAACUAAUGAAA